rnacentral:rRNA from 1 species
AUUGAACGCUGGCGGCAGGCCUAACACAUGCAAGUCGAGCGGAGCGGCGGACGGGUGAGUAAUGCCUAGGAAUCUGCCUGGUAGUGGUGGAUAACGUCCGGAAACGGGCGCUAAUACCGCAUACUAUCAGAUGAGCCUAGGUCGGAUUAGCUAGUUGGUGGGGUAAAGGCCUACCAAGUCGCAGAUCCGUAACUGGACUGAGGGGAUGAUCAGUCCAACUGGACCUGAGAGAUGGUCAAGACUCCUACGGGGGGAAGCAGUGGGGAAUAUUGGACAAUGGGCGAAAGCCUGAUCCAGCCAUGCCGGGGGUGUGAAGAAGGUCUUCGGAUUGUAAAGCACUUUAAGUUGGGAGGCGUUACCAACAGAAUAAGCACCGGCUAUCUUCGUGCCAGCAGCCGCGUAAUAC